GGGUUUAAAGGGUACGCAGGCGGGACUUUAAGUCAGUGGUGAAAGCCUCCAGCUUAACUGGAGAAUUGCCAUUGAAACUGAAGUUCUUGAGUAUGGAUGAGGUGGUUGGAAUAUAACAUGUAGCGGUGAAAUGCAUAGAUAUGUUAUAGAACACCAAUUGCGAAGGCAGAUCACUAAACCAUUACUGACGCUGAGGUACGAAAGCGUGGGGAGCGAACAGGAUUAGAUACCCUGGUAGUCCACGCCGUAAACGAUGUUCACUCGCUGUUGGCGAUAUACUGUCAGCGGCCAAGCGAAAGCAUUAAGUGAACCACCUGGGGAGUACGAUCGCAAGGUUGAAACUCAAAGGAAUUGACGGGGGCCCGCACAAGCGGUGGAGCAUGUGGAUUAAUUCGAUGAUACGCGAGGAACCUUACCAGGGCUUAAACGAUAAUUGACCGUCGCCGAAAGGUGUCUUUCUUUUAGACAAGUAUCAAGGUGCUGCAUGGCU
rnacentral:rRNA from 1 species